AAUAAACGAAUUUUUGUGUUUUUAAUAGAAUUUUAGAUUCUUCGUCUUAUUUGAAAAUUUUUUAUGAUUAAUAUUUUUAUUGUUACUACAUGAUAAAACAUAAAUAGUACUUUACAUACGACUAAUUUUUUUAAUUUUUUAAUAAAUUUUUCAAAUAAGAUGAUGAUCAAACUCUCGACGUACAAAACC
rnacentral:pre_miRNA from 1 species